UGUCCCUUGGUGUAAUGGUAACACGACAGACUUUGGCUCUGUCGUUCCUUGUUCGAGUCAAGGAGGGACAA
rnacentral:tRNA from 1 species